CAUAGGUUAAUGAGGCGAACCGGGGGAACUGAAACAUCUAAGUACCCCGAGGAAAAGAAAUCAACCGAGAUUCCCCCAGUAGCGGCGAGCGAACGGGGAGGAGCCCAGAGCCUGAAUCAGUGUGUGUGUUAGUGGAAGCGUCUGGAAAGGCGCGCGAUACAGGGUGACAGCCCCGUACACAAAAAUGCACAUGCUGUGAGCUCGAUGAGUAGGGCGGGACACGUGGUAUCCUGUCUGAAUAUGGGGGGACCAUCCUCCAAGGCUAAAUACUCCUGACUGACCGAUAGUGAACCAGUACCGUGAGGGAAAGGCGAAAAGAACCCCGGCGAGGGGAGUGAAAAAGAACCUGAAACCGUGUACGUACAAGCAGUGGGAGCACAGAGCAAUCUGUGUGACUGCGUACCUUUUGUAUAAUGGGUCAGCGACUUAUAUUCUGUAGCAAGGUUAACCGAAUAGGGGAGCCGAAGGGAAACCGAGUCUUAACUGGGCGUUAAGUUGCAGGGUAUAGACCCGAAACCCGGUGAUCUAGCCAUGGGCAGGUUGAAGGUUGGGUAACACUAACUGGAGGACCGAACCGACUAAUGU
rnacentral:rRNA from 1 species